GAAAAUGUUGUGCGUCCAUUAUUUUCUUAAAGCGAAAGGAACAUUUCGGACGACCUAAUAGUUGCUGUAUCUGGGAGGAUUCAACUUACGUCUGCUUUUAUUUUAUCUUUGAAAUCACACGUGUAUACGAGUUUGGUAAAAGCUGUAAGCAGAUCGUAGAUGAAAUUGCUUUUUGGAUAAAUCGAAGCGGUCGUCGGUUUAUCUUAUCUUCUGUUUUAAAAAUCCGGAAAGAUAUCUUCGUUAUUUAAUACGGGGACUUGUAUGACCUCUAUCGAAUUUUUCAACUUUUUUUAGAUAAUAAUUCUAAAUAGACGUUCUAUCAAUAAUGUCAGAAGCGAAUGAUCGCGCGAUGUGAUUGAUAUUGUGAAAAAACGAUUUCUGUUCUGACUUGUAGUUUAAUAAAAAUUAGAUAAUUCCAGGAUAAACAUCGUAUGGUGGGUUCAGAGUAGUAAAAGUUAAUCGAGUAGAUACUUAUGUAUAUUGUAUCCCUAUUAGGAUGUCAUUCUUGACACACGGUUCCUUUACUGAUUUUGGUAAUUUCAUCGUUUCCGGCUGAAAUGGAGAACGGAAGUUUGGCCAGAGAGUUUGACAAUCGGCGGAAACGUUACCACUCCGUUGCAUUGCCAAAAAAAGUAGAGCGACGACAACCUCGUUUUACAAAUUACCCGAGAACCGGUCCUCGGAUAGAAAUUUCUGUAUCGAAAAUUAUUUGUCCGUUUCCCUACUGAUAGAUAUUAAUUUAGCUGAGAUAUUAAGACGCAGAACGAUUUUAACGAUCGUUAAUGACGACUGUUGAAAACAUAGCAAGAAAUGUAUACAGUAAAGAAGUUGAUAAUAUUCGAAUACAAAUAGCAAUUUUUUAAUAAUUCCUUUUCUCCGUCAGUGUAUUUCAAACUGUCCGUUCUAUUGGAAAUAAAAAAGAAAAGAAACGAACGGUGAUUGCCACGUUUAAAAAUUGAAAACAUCAAAUUUUCACGUCUUUUAUCAUUUAAUAUCAUCCUCUGUUUACUGCGGAUGGAAAGGAAUAAUGGUACAAAAUUAGUAAAAUAAGAUUAUCAUAAUCAUAUGCCUUAAAUUCAUUUAUUUACACGCAAAUAUAUUAUAUGUAUACGGAUAGAUAUUUAUAUAUUAUGUAUAUAUCACUGUUAUAUUCCUAUAUAACCCUUGAGAUUUACACGUACAACCUACGUUUUUUUCGACAUCGUCGCUCUCGCGAGAUAUUUCGCUCUCCACUCUUUUGUUCCGCGUCGCGUAUGUUAUUGCAGCAAACGAACGAGAACAGAAUUUGCUGGAAUCCUUUUUCUUUUUUUUAAUCUCGAAGCACUUGAUCCGGCAAUCUUUCGUCGUUUUACACAGUGAUAUAUCAUUUUUUGUCUUUUUAUUUAAUUGUCUUUUAUUGUUGUUUAGAAAUGCUUAAUCGAUUACCGAACCAAUAUCAUAGCCAAGACGGAUAAUAUAGAAAACAUCGAGAAUAUCUGUUUAAAAAAUGACACGCGUUCGAAAAGGCCAUGGCUGUAAAAUCAUUUCGCAAACUCGAUAAAGGCUAACAAUAGCGAGUUUAGAAUAUAAAAUAUUGUCGUGUUACGAUUACGAAAAUUUUCAGAACAGUGCACUUGAGAUUAAUGUAAACGGACCUCGAUUAACACAAACCUUGAUUUUCGUGUGUUUACAAUAGAUGGAAUAAAUCUCGAUAGUAUUGCUAGAACACUUCUUGUUCACAUGGACCUAAGUGAUGACGAUUAACUUAUCCACGUGUUUCGCGUCUUGUCUCUGUUGAGCAUUAAAUCGUCAAAGAAUCGUUUGAGAAAAGAUUCAACGCAAAAAGUCUUCUUGUAAAAUGAUCUGAGAGAAUUUCGUUAAAGAAUUCUGCACAGGAUGUGAAAAGAGGUAAUGUUAAAUCUGUUAAAACUUCAUAGUACUACUAAGAUUAAAAAAUAUUAAAUUAAUGUUAAAUUUCAUAUUAAUAUUGUUAUUCAUGCUAUAAUAUUAACAAUACUAUAAUAUUAUUAAUGAUAUCAUGCUUCAUAAAAAUAAGAUUACUACUUGUUAAAAAAUAUAACGAUGAAAUUAUCGAUUUAAUAAUGCUGUUCACUACUGAUUUCUUAAUUUCUAAACUACCUUCUUCCAACACUCUGUGCACCAGACAAAAGUCGAUCUUAAUCUCACUUCUGAAAAAUUAUGCAGUGUUCACAGAUUCAUUUCAUUCGAAUACAAUAUAAAAUUUACUUAAGACAACCUCGAAAAUUAAAAAAAUGACAAGCUUGCGUGCUUAUACUAAAUUUUCGGCUUCAUCGCGUAAAAAAGCCGAACAUGUUUUCAAGAUACAUAUUUUCUCUCUUCUCUCACACUUUCUCUCUCUCUCUCUUUCUCUCUCUCUCUUUCUCUCUCUCUCUUUCUCUCUUUUUAGCUGAUCGAGUAACAAGUAUUCGUUAUUUACAAAUCUAUGAUAGCACAGGUAAUUUCAUGAUCGUGCUACCAUGACUUCCGUUUACAUAACAUCUCCUCUAAAAAAAAUAGUUAAAAAUAAGCAGCACAUAUUUCGAGUUUCGCAUGCAUCUAAUAGUGCCAUCUAUAACCCUGCCUGCCUUGUAACGAUCCAAACUGGCUUCUCUUUACUUCUUUUUCUUUCUUUACAUCGGACUAUUAGCGACCAAAUAGAGUAUAUGAGUUACAUUAAAGUCACAAUCAUUUAAAAGUAAAUGCUUCUCAAUCACAAAUUUUUUUAACGCGAA